GCAUAUUCGUGUAGAGGCGCAUGGUGGAUGCCUUGGGAUAUCAGGGCGAUGAAGGACGUGGCGUGACUGCGAUAAGCUUCGGGGAGGUGUCGAGCAACCUUUGAUCCGGAGAUAUCCGAAUGGGGAAACCCGUUUGCGCAAAACGCAAACAGCCUUGUCGAAUGACGGGGCGGCAAACCCGCUGAAGUGAAACAUCUUAGUAAGCGGAGGAAAAGAAAUCAUUCCCUUAGUAGCGGCGAGCGAACAGGGAGAAGUCUAAACCUAUAUUCAGCAGCAAUGCUGGAUAUGGGGGUUGCAAGAUAGAGACGCAUCGCAAGAUGGGGAGUAAUAGAAAUCAAAACUUCCGUAGCAGAAGACGCCUGGAACGGCGCGCCAAAGAGGGUAACAGCCCCGUAUGCGAAACGGGUUUUGAUACUCCUCGUUUCUACUCUUAAGUACCGCGGGAAACGAAUGCCCCGCGGGAAUCCGGCCGGACUGUUUGGCCAAGACUAAAUACCUGAUAUCACCGAUAGUGAACCAGUACCGUGAGGGAAAGGUGAAAAGUAGCCCGAUGAGGGCGGUGAAAUAGAACCUGAAACCAUGUCGCCGAUAUCACCGAUAGUGAACCAGUACCGUGAGGGAAAGGUGAAAAGUAGCCCGAUGAGGGCGGUGAAAUAGAACCUGAAACCAUGUCGCCUACAAAGAGUCGGAGCUCCGGUAGCAAUACCGUGAGUGACGGCGUGCUUUUUGCAGAACGAGCCAACGAGUUUCUUUUGUCAGUUUGUCUAAGUGCUUCUGGCACGGAGGCGCAGGGAAACCGAGUCCAAAAGGGCGUCUAUGACUGACGGAGGAAGACCCGAAGCCAAUGCGAGCUUGCCAUGGCCAGGAUGAACUUAACAGAAAUGUUGAGGGAGGUCCGAACCCGUGAGCCGUGCAAUACUCUGGGAUGAGCUGUGGCAAGAAGUGAAAAGCUAAUCGAGCUUGGGAAUAGCUGGUUCUCUCCGAAAUAGCUUUCGGGCUAGCGUCAUCUAUGUCUUCUGGAGGUAGAGCUCUGGAAAGAAUAAUCUUGGAGCAAUCCAGAUAU
rnacentral:ncRNA from 1 species